GGGCUCCUGAAUACGUAUGUGAAUCAGUGUAACAGAGGGUACUGAAUAUUCAGCCACACUUCCAACCCCUCUCCUGACAGGCAAUACCGACUGGAUGAUAAGUGACUCAAACAAAAAAAAGCCACAGGCAAGAGCUACACAACCACAGAGCCUGCAAUACAUUGGAGCACAGAACCAGUUUUCUGUGUGUUGCU